UUUUUUUUUUGUUUUCGUUUCUUCUUUUUACGAAUGUUCGAUAAAAAGUUUAUUGUCAUGUUAGUAUAAUUAUAUUGUAACAUAUAUAUAUAUAUAUAUUAUUUUAAUUUUUUUUUUUUUUUGUAUUUUUAACGCGUUUUUUUUUUUUUUUGUCAAUGACUCGUUAUACCUUUUUCACUUAUUAUUUAUAUACUUAUAUAAGUAAUAUAUAUUUUUAUUAGUAUAUUUUUUUUUUUUUCACUGACCCUCGGCAAGGUCGUUAUCGCGGCGUACCCAUCACGACGACGACGGCUAUUAUAAUAGCACCUACCCUCCCUUCCCCGGAUCGAAACGACGGGAUGCCCGGCAGCAAACCCGGACGGGCCUCGCGAAAUCGUCAUUUACAAUCGGCUUUCUAAAACGGUCAAAUUCCCGACGGUUUCCAUCCGUUUCGCGUGAUUUCGGGCGCCGAGUCCCAUCCAUCCAAACGAAAAUCAAUACCUUUCCCGCGCGUAUUAUUUUUAUUCGAAUGAAAUUGUUGUUUAAACGUUUGUCGGUUUCUCUCUUACUCCUCGAUUCCGUCUCCUCGCAUUUCGUCGCUAAUGUCUCACAACCGCCGCGUAACAACCACGACGUGUAUCGACCGUGCCGUUGAACGGGAAAAGAAUUUUAAAAAACCGUAUACUCUCGGCCUAUACGACGGAGAAACUGAUUAUUUUUCGCGCGUAUACCUGCAAACCCGACACGCACCGGAUUGCAAGCCACCGUUUUUCGUCCGCGCGUCGAAUUCACGAAAGUCCGGCUUCUAUCGGGGGAGGGGAGCGUACGGACCCUUUGAAUCCCUUUCGCCCGUGAAUUCCGUCGUUCGCCGUUUCGCCAGAACGCGCGUAUAAAAUCGAGCCGACGGCCGUAUUCGAACAACGGUCGAAACGCGAAUUAUCGUUUUUCAUAAAAAUUCGUGACGUUGAAAUUCUCAAUAAAAAAAAAAAAAAAAAAACAAAAAAAAACCAAUUAAAACGAAAAACCGCAGCUUUUUUCUGUGUAGACCCGUCGGCCCGUUGCCUUUACACGGGUUUGCAAAAAGCACGGGAUAAUGUUAGACACUAACGCGGCUCGUGACGUGCGCAUCAUGCGUGUUUAAACGGUUCCCACUUACGCGUUGGGAAAACCGUCGCCGGGUAUUGGGUUUCGACCGAAAACGUGUUCGGGCGGCGCGGCGCCAAAGGUCCGAGUUUGCGCGAAAACCUCCCCCGGGGGCCCCGUGAUCAAUUAUUAUUAUCGUACGCGGUGAGAUCAAUUUUAUUAUUAUACUACGCGUUAUAAUUACUGUAUGACGUCAUAAUCGCGUCUCGUGUCGGCCGUACACGUAACGUUAUAAAUAAUUAACAUUGAUACAAUGUGAGCAAUUGUGAUUGCGUUAUAUUUUUUGUAUCAUGCCGUUCCGUAAUGUCUCGCAACGCGACGAUUCAUAACGAUAAUACAAUAAGCGCGCGAGAAGAAAAAAAAAAAAAAACGCUAAAAUAACAUUAUUUUUAGGUUACGAUAUUGUGUAUAAUUAUUAUUAAUGUAUGAUAACGGUGCUAUGGUAACGUAUAUAAUAGUAUAGUUAUCGGUUUAACGAACACGACGACAAAAAGACAAAAAUCUCGUAGUUUUCGUUUUUGAUAUUUUUUUUUUUUUUUUUUUUUAAAUUAUCUGUAUUUUGUAGCUAUACAAUAACGCGAUUCCGUUUCGUUUAUUUAAUUUGUUUUCUCUUUUCUAUCGGUCCGAUCCGUACCGCCAAAAAAUCACGUCGCGUUUUUAACAGCCUACAUGAUGUUGUAAUCAUUGAUAUUACUGUGUGUCCUCUUCGGUAUCCGGGGGAGCGAAACUCGAAUCAAUCGUUGCCGUUUUUCUUUUUGUCGACGUAAUUUCCUCUGUCCCCCCCCCCGUGCGCGUUUCGGUCCGAGCCGCGCGAAUCCAUCGCCGUACGGCGUAUCUGCCGAAAUUAAUUGGCCCAAAUGUUGACCGUACAAAUAAUUCUUCCCCGGGACCGAUGAUAAUAAUAUGAGAUGAGAUACUAUAAUGUCAACAAACUGUCCCCGCUCGACGAAAUAACGGAUCGUUUUUCGUAAACGUUUCAGUACGUUUAUAAUUAUCAUUAUUAUUAUCAUUAUUAUUAUUAUUAUUAUUAUUAUUAUUAUUAUUAUUAUUAUUAUUAUUAUUAUUGUAGUCCGUCGAACAUGUUCCGUAACUUGCCGUACGCGUUUUGCACAAUUUAUUAUUAUAUACAAAUUUAGCUAAUAAAAACAUUAAUUACAUUAUUAUAAUAUCCGUGAAAACAUUAUAACGUAUACGUUUAUUAUUAUUAUUAUUAUUAUUAUUAUUAAUGUCUUAAUUAUUUUAUUCGAAUAUAUAUUUAUAUAUAUUAUAAUAUUUAUUCGUCCGUGAUACAUAAUAAUAUAAUCGCAGUGGCGGCGCCCGGGGGUAAAAGUCAUUGAGUGUUAAUUAAUCGCAGCGGCGGCGGAUCCCGGAGGAGGACACGGGGGCACUUCCACCUGUCAAUGGACAACCGUUUUUGUUUUUAUAAUUUAUAAUUCGCUGAAAACAUAAAUAAAGUGCCCCCCCCCCUAACGUUAAAAAAAAAAAUGUCUGGAUCCACCGUUGAUUAAUCGGAACAACGCGGAGUAGAAUAUUAAGAAACUCGUCACCCGAGCUCCGCCCCUCCCCCCGCUCAAAACGCGUAACGUUACUGUUAUGAGCUAGGGUACCCUGACGCUUCGCCUCUAAAAAAAAACCCCCCGUCAUUCGAGACGUUUACCCCCUCCGCCACCCGAAUAAUAACGUAUCGUAACUAUUAUAGCGUCCAAGAGUGAGCUACAUAAAACCUGUGAUUUGCGAUCGCGAUACGAAGUUUCAAAAUGUACAUUAAAAAAAAAUACCCUCGGCCCUCUCUCACUCUCUCGCGGCUAUAAUAAUCGGUGAAACUUGCGGGUAGACCCGCGAUAAGGGCGACGCGUGUUCGAACGUUUUUCUUAUCCAGAAGGUCCGACGGCUAACGGCUCCAGGGAUGGAAAAAAAAAAAAAAAAUAACCGAAAACCGAAUCGCUCGUUAAUAACAUUACUUACACACCGGCCGUUUGUGAACGUUUUCCUUUUCGAACGUCGGACAAGUGCCCUACCUCCCCCCCCUUUUGCGCGUUUAUCAGUACGCGACAUUGCGCGCGCACGACCGUAGACGUUGGCCUCACGUAACCUAACCAAACCGAGUCGCGGCGAAUCGUGUCGAUCGACCCGCGAUAAAAACAAACGGUUCUCGCCUCACGAUCAAUUGUCAUUACGAAUGUUCUGCGCGUCUAUCGCGGGUGAACCGAUAGAAUUCGACCUCUUUACGGCUUUGCUUUGGAAAACGCGUUUCACGGCCGGCCCGUUGUAAUUAAUAACCCGUUACGAAUCGUUACGGUGGUAUCCGCGCGACCGUUUUACGGUUUCUUGUCGAUCCGGUUUUCAAACGGUUUUAUUGAUAUCGUAUAUUUUGUAGGCAUUUAACGACUCGCACCCCGCCCGCCCCUCCCCCCUCCCAUGUGCAAUAAAUAACGUUAGAUUUUUUAAUAAUAAUCGUUGAAUCCCGUGUUGUUAAUUAAUUGUACAUUAUUAUUAUUAUUAAAACUUCGUAGACGUAGUUUGCUCUGAUCUAACGAUUAAUUGAGUGUAUCAAUAGAAAUUAUUAUGGCCCGUGUGCGAAACGUAAUUUCGUUUACGUAUUAUGAACCAAGAAAAAUGUCAUUUGCGAGUUAAUUAUUGAAUUACCCCUACUUAUUAGCCGGUAUAGUUCGUAAUGAUUGUAAUUUAUUUUAUUUAUAUUUUUUUUUUUUUUUUUUUCGUACGUUUUUCUACCGUUUAAGCCUCUCCCAGUGUCCAGUCUCCACUUUUAGUCAAUUAUUAUUACUACGCUCGGAUCGCGUAUAAAUAUCGUAUUCGUACGCAUUUUUAUUAUUAUUAUUAUUAUUAAACCUACGUACAACACUAAUCGUUUAGAACUAGUACUAUUAAAUAAUAUUAUUAUUAUUAUUAUUAUUAUUAUAUUAUUAUUGUUUUAAUUUAAACACACAUUUUAAUAUACAAACAGACCUAUUAAACAUAA